rnacentral:rRNA from 1 species
CGCGUAGGCGGCCUACUAAGUCAGACGUGAAAUCCCCCGGCUUAACCUGGGAACUGCGUCUGAUACUGGAAGGCUUGAGUAUGGGAGAGGGAUGUAGAAUUCCAGGUGUAGCGGUGAAAUGCAUAGAUAUCUGGAGGAAUACCGGUGGCGAAGGCGGCAUCCUGGACCAUUACUGACGCUGAGGCGCGAAAGCUAGGGAGCAAACG